rnacentral:snRNA from 14 species
AGCUUUGCGCAGUGGCAGUAUCGUAGCCAAUGAGGUUUAUCCGAGCGCGAUUAUUUACUAAUUAGAACAACUCCAAUUGAAAAAAAUCCCUCACAGGAUUGGCUUGCAGGCCCAGCCUAUGGUACUUUUCUUAAUGAA